AUUGAACGCUGGCGGCAGGCUUAACACAUGCAAGUCGAGCGGAGAGAGGUAGCUUGCUACUGAUCUUAGCGGCGGACGGGUGAGUAAUGCUUAGGAAUCUGCCUAUUAGUGGGGGACAACAUUUCGAAAGGAAUGCUAAUACCGCAUACGUCCUACGAGAGAAAGCAGGGGAUCUUCGGACCUUGCGCUAAUAGAUGAGCCUAAGUCGGAGUAGCUAUUUGGUGGGGUAAAGGCCUACCAAGGGGACGAUCUGUAGCGGGUCUGAGAGGAUGAACCGCCACACUGGGACUGAGACACGGCCCAGACUCGUACGGGAGGCAGCAGUGGGGAAUAUUGGACAAUAAGCGCAAGCCUGAUCCAGCCAUGCCGCGUGUGUGAAGAAGGCCUUAUGGUUGUAAAGCACUUUAAGCGAGGAGGAGGCUACUUUAGAUAAUACCUAGAGAUAGUGGACGUUACUCGCAGAAUAAGCACCGGCUAACUCUGUGCCAGCCGCCGCAGUAA
rnacentral:rRNA from 1 species